UACAUGGGGUGCAAACGUUGCUCGGAAUCAUUGGGCGUAAAGGGCGCGUAGGCGGCUUGGCAAGUGGAAGGUGAAAGUCCCUCGGCUUAACCGAGGAACUGCCCUCCAAACUGCUUUGCUUGAGGCCGGGAGAGGCGAGUGGAAUUCCCAGUGUAGCGGUGAAAUACGUAGAUAUUGGGAGGAACACCAGUGGCGAAGGCGGCUCGCUGGACCGGUUCUGACGCUGAGGCGCGAAAGCGUGGGGAGCAAACGGG
rnacentral:rRNA from 1 species